UACAUAGGUCUCAAGCGUUGUUCGGAUUCAUUGGGCGUAAAGGGUGCGUAGGCGGCGCGGUAAGUCGGAUGUGAAAUCUCGGAGCUUAACUUCGAAACUGCAUUCGAUACUGUCGUGCUUGAGGACUGGAGAGGAGACUGGAAUUUACGGUGUAGCGGUGAAAUGCGUAGAUAUCGUAAGGAAGACCAGUGGCGAAGGCGGGUCUCUGGACAGUUCCUGACGCUGAGGCACGAAGGUCAGGGGAGCAAACGGG
rnacentral:rRNA from 1 species